rnacentral:lncRNA from 1 species
CUUUACCCUUAUGGGUAAUAAUAUGGUAGCUAGACCUUCAAAAUUUAUGUGUCUAAACUUUGUUAGUGCUGUUUCUUUGCUAUUCUUUUACCUUUCUUGGUCAGAGCGAUGUAGUGGGAGCUGCAAGCUUCACGUGCUCAACUUUGGCAGAGAACUUUGGCAAAGUUAUCUGUGGUACCCAUGAGCUAUUGUUGCGUGUGACAGGUGCUGACAAGGCUAGAAAAGUAGGUGCCUCUUCGAUUUCUGAGAUCGGCCCUCGUGGUCUCUGAGCAGCCCAGCUUUUGAGAAAGCGAGCGCCUCUUCGAUUGAUUCGGAGAACGAUGCCUCAUCGAUUUUUGAGAAAGCAAUCAUGCUGGGGGUCUGGCUCUUGAAGAUUCGGGAAGCAGUGUCUCUUCGAUUUUUGAGAAAGUAAUCAUGUUGGGAGUCUGGCUCUCGAGAUUCGGAGGGCGGUGCCUCUUCGAUUUUGGAGCAAGCAAUCUUGUUGGGAGUGUUUUCUCGAAUGUGAGUAAAGGUUGGGCAUGUUUGCUAGUCUACCUUGCCACGAAGCACAGAGGUUGACACACAGGGACUUUCCAAUUAUCCAGCAAUGGUACUGUUCCUUUACCCUCUCUUCGAUUUUUAAGAAAGUAGUCAUGUUGGGAGUCUGGCUCUCGAGAUUUGGAGGACGGUGCCUCUUCGAUUUUGGAGCAAGCAAUCUUAUUGGGAGUGUUUUCUCGAAUGUGAGUAAAGGUUGGGCAUGUUUGCUAGUCUACCUUGCCACGAAGCACAGAGGUUGACACACAGGGACUUUCCAAUUAUCCAGCAGUGGUACUGUUCCUUUACCCUUGUGUGGGUAAUAAUAUGGUAGCUAGACCUUCAAAAUUUAUGGGUCUAAAACUUUGUUAGUGUUGUUUCUUUGCUAUUCUUUUACCCUUCUUGGUCAGAGCGAUGUAGUGGGAGCUGCAAGCUUCACGUGCUCAACUUUGGCAGAGAACUUUGGCAAAGUUAUCUGUGGUACCCGUGAGCUAUUGUUGCGUGUGGGAAGUGGGUGAUUGAACAGUAAGAUUCAUGUGUUUUCUACUUCCCCAGAAGUCUUCGACAGAAUGCCCAUAAUUUCCGCAAAGCUGAGUGUGCGUGUGACAGGUGCUGACAAGGCUGGAAAAGUAGGUGCCUCUUCGAUUUCUGAGAUCGGCCCC